AUUGAACGCUGGCGGCAGGCCUAACACAUGCAAGUCGAACGAGUGGCGGACGGGUGAGUAAUGUCUGGGAAACUGCCUGAUGGAGGGGGAUCACUACUGGAAACGGUAGCUAAUACCGCAUACAAUCGGAUGGGCCCAGAUGGGAUUAGCUAGGAGGUGGGGUAACGGCUCACCUGGGCCACGAUCCCUAGCUGGUCUGAGAGGAUGACCAGCCACACGUGAACUGAGACACGGUCCAGACUCCUACGGGAGGCAGCAGUGGGGAAUAUUGCACAAUGGGCGCAAGCCGGAUGCAGCCAUGCGGCGUGGAUGAAGAAGGCCUUCGGGUUGUAAAGUACUUGCAGCGGGGAGGCGUUACCCGCAGAAGAAGCACCGGCUAACUCCGUGCCAGCAGCCGCGGUAAUAC
rnacentral:rRNA from 1 species